rnacentral:tRNA from 1 species
AUUUAUAUAGUAUAAGUUAUUAUAUUUAACUUCCAAUUAAAAGAUCUAUAUUAUUAGUAUAAAUA